GCCAUGAGGAGCAGGUGGUCCUAGGCUGUAUGAGAAAGCAGGGGACAAGCCAUGAGGAGCAGGUGGUCCUAGGCUGUAUGAGAAAGCAGGGGACAAGCCAUGAGGAGCAGGUGGUCCUAGGCUGUAUGAGAAAGCAGGGGACAAGCCAUGAGGAGCAGGUGGUCCUAGGCUGUAUGAGAAAGCAGGGGACAAGCCAUGAGGAGCAGGAAGCCAGGCCUUUCCCACCUAGGUUGAUGUUGCUCAUGGUCUUCACCUUAGCAAUAGGAAGCACAUUUAGGACAGAUGCUGUUUGUCCUGGGAGGCCCCUCCAAACCCCCAACACCACGGUCCUUUCGAUGGUCAUCCAGGUCCACAGUGUCUGCUGAGAUGCUCGUGGGUACAAGGAGGGCUUGAGCCCAAUCCCUUUGGCUUGGUUUAGUGUGGCCACAGUCCUGUCCUUAGCAGUCAUGAUUACAUUUAUAUUGCUCGAUCUGUCCAUUUUAAUUCUCAGUUUAGUCCCUAAAAGUAUUUGGGUGGCUGGGGAUAUAUCUCAGUUGGUAGAGUACAUGAAUACUGCACAUGAGACCAUGGGUGAGAUCCCCAGCACCAUGUAUUUAUGUAGUAUCUGGUGGCCGAUGCCUGUAGUCCCAGCACGUAGGAGGCAGAGGCAGGAGGAUCAGAAGUUU
rnacentral:lncRNA from 1 species